GGGCUAUUAGCUCAGUGGUAGGGGCGAGGUCUCUGGUUCAAGUCCAGGAUGGCCCA
rnacentral:tRNA from 1 species